UACGUAGGGGGCUAGCGUUAUCCGGAAUUACUGGGCGUAAAGGGUGCGUAGGUGGUUUCUUAAGUCAGAGGUGAAAGGCUACGGCUCAACCGUAGUAAGCCUUUGAAACUGGGAAACUUGAGUGCAGGAGAGGAGAGUGGAAUUCCUAGUGUAGCGGUGAAAUGCGUAGAUAUUAGGAGGAACACCAGUUGCGAAGGCGGCUCUCUGGACUGUAACUGACACUGAGGCACGAAAGCGUGG
rnacentral:rRNA from 1 species